rnacentral:lncRNA from 1 species
CUCUAAUAGUCUAGCCCACAUCUUAGAAAUCAAUCAAUUGUUAGGUUUCAAAUAUAAAGAUUGGCUAAGGAACUCAAAAAGUAUUUUGAGUUUCGAGAAGCUAGGUUGUAUCUUAGACCAGAAAAUAUCUAUAGGGAUCUUGAAGAGUUCAAGAGACAUAUCUUUAGAAGGUAUGUCAGACCUACUCAUGAUUGAGACUAAUCUAACGGUUUCUUCUACUACCAGUUAGGUAAUAGACUUUGGUUCUAGUGAUAUUUAUGUAUUUCAAUGCAGGAUCUUAAGGAAUGUAGAAGGUUGAGGCUAAGAGAGAUGACCCUGCGAGUAGGCAACGGAACAAGAGUUGCUGCUAUCACCAUAAGGACCUAUCCUCUUUGAUUGUUGUCUGAUUUUUGUCUAAAACUAAGGG